AUUGAACGCUGGCGGCAGGCCUAACACAUGCAAGUCGAGCGGUAGCGCGAAGCUUGCUUCUCUUGAGAGCGGCGGACGGGUGAGUAAUGCCUAGGAACCUGCCUGGCAGUGGGGGAUAACGUUCGGACACGGACGCUAAUACCGCAUACGUCCUACGGGCGAACGCAGGGGACCUUCGGGCCUUGCGCUAUCAGAUGAGCCUAGGUCGGAUUAGCUAGUUGGUGGGGUAAUGGCUCACCAAGGCGACGAUCCGUAACUGGUCUGAGAGGAUGAUCAGUCACACUGGAACUGAGACACGGUCCAGACUCCUACGGGAGGCAGCAGUGGGGAAUAUUGGACAAUGGGCGAAAGCCUGAUCCAGCCAUGCCGCGUGUGUGAAGAAGGUCUUCGGAUUGUAAAGCACUUUAAGUUGGGAGGAAGGGCAGUAAAUUAAUACUUUGCUGUUUUGACGUUACCGACAGAAUAAGCACCGGCUAACUCUGUG
rnacentral:rRNA from 1 species